UACGGGGGGGGCAAGCGUUGUUCGGAAUUACUGGGCGUAAAGGGCUCGUAGGCGGCCAACUAAGUCGGAUGUGAAAUCCCCAGGCUCAACUUGGGAACUGCAUCCGAUACUGGAUGGCUUGAAUCCGGGAGAGGGAUGCAGAAUUCCAGGUGUAGCGGUGAAAUGCGUAGAUAUCUGGAGGAACACCGGUGGCGAAGGCGGUUCUCUGGGCCUGUACUGACGCUGAGGAACGAAAGCGUGGGGAGCGAACAGG
rnacentral:rRNA from 1 species